AAUUAAGCGAACCCAGGCGGGAAAAGCCCUUAUUUGUCCGUUUGUUUAUUUAUUUAUUUGACUACUCUUCGCCAAGCUGCUGCGCCCCAGAGCCCUCGAAUGUGCUGUGCUGGCAUAACAAGAUCCGGGAAUGAUCGGGCUGAAGGAUUGGCCCGAAGUUUGGCGGUUUGAACAGGCGCCAGGAGGAAAGGCCUUUUCCCAAAGCAGUAGCACCAGGCCGAAAAAAAAUCUAUACCCUUCCCCGAGGGGCAAAUAUAUGCUAUAUAUAUACUGGAAAGAAGAAUGUUUCCUUUGGCCCCUGUCUCGUAUUUGCAGCCUAUGUCUAGCGUACAGAUUUAAAUUGGGGUGAGGUGAUGAGUCAUAAUGAUUGGAAAUGUAGCCGAAGGUAGAACUGUUCAGCUAUACAGGGAAGGCUGAGAUAAAGACAAGAUGAGUAGCGAGCCUUGACGGAGGGAGAAUGGAAAGAUCGGGUGUAUCUUCCUGCUCGAGUCCACUCGUCCCCUCCCCCACAACCCGUGCUUUGCCGAUUGAAUCCUCGGGCCGGACAAUUUAACUGCACAUGCGCUAGACGCCGGGCGCGCGUGUGUAGCGGGCACUGUGGGGCCCCGAGCUGUGCCGCCUGCGUGCACCGCGCAGUACGGAUGAGGCACCGCGCACCGCUUCUAUGCCUGGAUGCAGAGGAGCUUGGGAACCUCAUCUCAAGAAGCAGGAAACAUACUUUUGUUUUUCAGUAAAACCUGUAUUAAAAGCUUCAACUGUCCUUUCUGAUUUGCAAGCCCUAUUCCGCCGAACAAGCAGCAUCUCCUCGUUGCCAAUGAACACUCUGAAGGUUGUUAUGUGGAUCAGAAAUGUCACAUACAGGGCACUGCUUUCCUUAAAUUGUUCUUCAAGGCGGGGAAAACCACCCUACAUUCAGAGAGCACAACUUCUCCCUCAUUCUGCAAAACUAUCAAGUCUAAAGGACCAGUCCCUAGAAAGAGGGCAUCUGUUCACGCCAUUUCCGAAAACGUGACCCUAAAUUGAAUUUAAGUUGGAAUUCUGAGUUUUUGGUGGCUUCUCCCCAGCUUCCGGUGCCCCCGUUUACCCUGCCCGGCUGCCUGGCCGCCGCACUGCGGCAAGGCCGUAAAUACCUCUAACAGCUGCCUGCCAGCCCAGGGUGAAAUACUGUCUUUGUUCGAUUUCCCUUGCCUUUCUGGUUCAGAAAACAGAACUCUGGCAAAAUGUACUUGUUUGUAGAAACAUCUGACGAGAAAAUACGCUUUGUUUUCAGCUCUCGUGCUUGGCCACAUUUAUAAUUUCGAGUUUCGCUCUUUCUCCUGAUCCUCGCAGAGAUCUCAAGCCCAGUUCAUGGCCUGACCCGUCGUCACCAAGGUCAGGACAUGCUACCAGCUCCCUGCUCUAUGAGAGAACAGAGGUUUGGGCCAAGGACACCGGGAGUUAUACUUCCGGGCUUCUCAGCUCUUAGGGUCCCAGCGUUUUAAAUUUUCGUUUCAUUUUUUUUGUUACGUUAACAGAAACAAUGGGGUUAUUUCCGGUAGUGGCAACAGCACGAACUAGUCUCCUUGAGGACUAAUGGCCCGAAAGUUUUUGUGAUUUGCGGAUUAUUUCCCUUAGAUGCAAUCGACCAUUUCGUUCUAAUAAGAAUUAAUGCUACCACGGGGCUUACAAAGAACCCCUCAGUCUUCCAAAUCUGCCCAUGACAUCAACCUCUGCUGCGUAAUCGGACCUGCACCCAACCCAGGUUUUUAGUCACCCAAGCGCGCUGGGCUACAGAACCCAGGGAAAGGCACUGAAGCUCUUAACAUAGAGCUUGGCCAUCAGGGCCACACCCCCACCCCCAGCCGGGUACCAUCCAACCUAGGGACUCUUCCUGCUCCGGAUCUACCCGGCAGGGCCUAGAAGCCACUGUCCAGGUGCCUGCUUUUCAAUGGGGAAUAUUUUUUACCCCAUCAAACAAUGACCUCAAAGACCAUUGUACCGUAGUAGAGAAAUAAUUACAAAAUACAAACACUCCAAGUAAAAAAAAGAAUCACUCAAGUUUCUUAUUUGUAAGUGAUCAGAAUUAGUGAUCCAGGAGAAUUUGCAGGCAUCAGCUGGCCACAAAUCGUGGACCUCCAUUUUGAAAUGAGCAUGAUUCCAUCAUUAAUUAUGAAAAACACCUUUCCACAAAGAUGACAUGUUUUGUUCAGAAACGCUUUUAUGGCCAACGUUGUUACAUUGGAAUUUUAAGAGAACAAUAAGUUAGGAUUUACCACUGGGUGCUUUGGGAACCAUACCCUUGCCUCGCGCAGGCCAGUCUCAUGCGCAAUGCGGCAGAUUGUCCAAAGGUUUCAUUUCACAAUGUUCAUGACGGGAAUAGGCAAUAGGAUUUACGAACUGCAUCCUCAAGUGCCAUUCAAAAUCAGAGGGAGAAAAUAGCUUUUUUUCUUCUGCAAAGGAUUUUCUUUUAUGCAUAUUGUUUCAUUUCAGCAGUUUUGAAGUUGAGGGAAGAAUGUUACAAUGUAAUAUUUAUUAGUAGGCGGAAAAAAAAAACCACACAACCCAUCAAUACACUUAGAGAGCAAAAAGAUCUACUCUUCCUACUCUGGCAAAUAAGAAACACACGAUGUUUGAACACAGAGAUGUCUUGUAUUUCUCAAAGAUUUAUUGGGUUUUUACCAAGACCUGGACCAUAUAGUCUGAUACCAUUACUUCCCAAAACAUGCAUUCAUUUUGUGAUAUAAAAUAAUCCAAAUUCACCUGACAGAUUAUCAUAUGUGGGAAGAACCUAUCUUGAGUUGUUUAAAAAUUUCUCUAAGAACUAGAGAAACAUUUAAAAAUUUUUAAAAUUCCAUCUCAUACAACACAAGGCCCAAUAAACCAUUAACCCUAGAAAUUAACCAGCAUCAGUCACUAAAGCCUAGAUUCAAACACCAAGCACAUCCUAGGAACAGAGAAUUCACCCCACCCCCACCCAAGUCCCAACCCUCAAAAAACACCUGUUAUUCUCCCGGGAACCUCUGGCCACGACCACAGAUAAACCACAAAAACCACAGCUCUGUAUAAAAUGCCUUUAGUGACCCCCAGCAAGUGGAGAUGUUCAGUAGUAACCCGUCUACACGCUUUCUCAGGGUGGGAUUGAGGGGCUCUCCAUCUAGACAUUGGGAUCCUGUCUGUGGCUACCCAUCUCUCAGAAUUUCUGGAAGAAAUAAUACUGCCCCCUUAGACUUCUGAACCCAGCCGGACCCCGCCCCCGGCCGCAGGGGACGCCCUAGGAACCAAGAAAUGGGGGGAAGGGGCUUAGACAGCGACCCUCAGUUCCCCGGGAAAUGUAGGGGAGCAGCCGAACUGAGCUGACCAAGGGGGUCGGCGCCCCAGACUUCUUGGUGGCAUGCUGGGGCGCGGGGAGGGGGCGACUCUUACCCGAAGGCUGCCGAGCUGCAGGCGGCGGUCGGUCCGGGCGUCUGCCGUAAUCCACUAGGCGCUGCCCGGCUGCGCGCGCUCUCGGCGGCAGAUACCCGCUCAUGUUGGUGAAGAAACCGCGCCGGAAUUGCGCGGCUGCAGUCACCUCGAGCAGGCCGGCUGCUCCUGGCAGGCGGUGUCCGCGCCGGCGGAGGGCUUGGCGCCCAAGGCCCCUUCCAGGCCCUCCCUCGCCGGGCUCCCCACCAGCUCCGGAGGUGGCGGCUGUGCGGACCGAGUGAGCGGCGGUGGGGCCAGGCCGGGCGCCGGGCGGGAGCCGAGGCCGCGGCAGACUCCGCAAUCCCGCAGCCGGCGACUGAAGCCCACCUCUGCAGAGACAAAGGGACUGCUCUGGUGAACUCCCGAAAGUAAAUGUCCUUGGCUGGCCUCCAGCAUUCCCCUCAUGGGCAUAGCCAUGCAGCCUUCAGAACCUUCCUGAAAGAGAUGCCCAAGGAUUCAGCAAAUACUGGGGAAGCAGAGGACACAAGAAACUUGGAUGUGAAAUAGCACUUCCUUCUGUAUUACAGAAUAAAACAAUAUUUUAAAUUACACAAGCAGAUGGGGCAAGUUUUUGGGCCCUCACAAGCCCAGAAGACUUCACACAGGUAUACUGGUAUAUACAUGUGGAAUUGAGCAAAGAAGUUGUUUAAUUCCAAAGUUUUCUGAGAAAUAAUCUCAGUAGUCAAUUUGCCUCAUUAUCCUCUCCCCAUCUUACCCAGAUAAAAGCAGAGCUUUAUGACCCUCCUUUUCAAUUUGGGGAAUGAGGGCUGCAAAGAGACUUUGCACAGAAAAAGCAGCCAUAUUUGCAUUUUCUCCUCUUGUGCCCAGAGGUAAGCGAUGUACUGGGCUUUGUGGAACCUCACAAAAUGGCAUCCUUGAACUGACUUCUCUGAAAACCACUGAGACCCACAUCCUCUUUUGUGUGUUUCUGGUCAUUGCAAAUGGAGAGCCUAAAUCACUCAGAAGGCUUGGUUCUUUCAUUCAGUGUUAACAUUGGAGAGUAUUAUUUUUCUCUAAACGGUUUACAGACCUCUCUAAGCCGACUGCUGCAGUCCAGGGCUGAAAAGCACUGUCCGGGAUGGCAAAGCAUUCUCUGAAGGUUUAUGCAAAUUUCUGCAGCAAAAAAAUGUUUGCUUGUUGCCUCAAUGCUUGGAUGUUGAAACAUUUGAGCCAAUUAGAAGGGCAUCUUGUGCGCGUCACUGCCAGUCUGUCUGCAUGAAACACCAUGAUGGGGGGUGGGGAUGUCUAGUCAGUGUAAGAAAGAAGGUGGCGAAUGUGUGUGAUGUGUAAUUCCCCAAGGUCUUUAUUUGAACACAAAUCUAUGCUCUUUCCCAGCUACAAAAGGAAACAUUUACCUACAUGUAUAAUUAACACUCUGGGCGUGUAAGCUAUGUAUACAUACAAAUCCAUAUUCUAAAAUACACCAGCUAUUGCAACAGUCUUUGUCUGUACAUGAGGUAUGAAUUUACCAUGGUUUAGGGGGCCAGUGGGGCCAAAAGUUACACUUCGAGACCAGCACAGAAUGCUGAAGAAAUGACAUUUUACCUCCUCUUCCUUCCUUGAUUUCCAUACCCACCCAUACACAGUGCUCCCACCUGACAGUCUUGCCAACAUUAUUUCAGGGUUCUAAAAGAAUUUGGUGAGCAUCCUUGAACAGGAGACAGCCAGUUUUACUAAUAUACAAAGGAGUCCUGAGUCCCUUAAAUCCAGGGCAGCUGGAUUUCAGCCAGCACUGGUCUUUGUAUGGUUUACACUGGAGGCUGUUCCCCAGCCUCUUGGCCCUUGGCAUCCUUACUCUGUACCAGCCGAGAGCAGUCUUAAGCAGCGCACAGAGCAAAACAUUCUCAAAUCCAGCAUAGGCAUUUGCAGCUGUCUCUUGGAGUGCAAAUGUUUAAGUCCUGGGCCACUUGUGAUUUAAAAUUAUCUUUCCUGGCUCAGGUCGGAGAAUGUCACAGCCAUCACUUCUUCCCAGCAUGUAAAGCCAGGUGGUGCUUUCCUUCUGACCUGGCCAGUGGCAACAUUUCUGUGGUCUGUGAAGCCACAGGCAAACAGCCUGACAAAACCCGAUGAGGUGACCCUGGUGCAAAACUAUAGGAUUCCAUUUUCUUACCUAUGUAAUAAAAGCAACUCUGGAAAUAAAAACAUAUCCCUUUGAAAAUAAACACGGUUAGAGAAAGCAGAGAGCUCUUUGAUGACUACCUAAUAAAGGUGCUUUUCCUUUUUCGGGAAUGAAUGUUACUUUACUUGAAUUUUCCUCUUUUCUCCCACUCCUCUUCCCCCUACUUUCCCCUCUAAAAUGGCAGCUGCAGGAGCAGCCUCCAAUGGAAAAUGGAUAUCUUGUUAAUAACAGAUGCCAAACCCCAGCAUCAACGCUGGCUCAGUGGAAUAAGCUGUGGUGUAACAAGGACUCUGGGUUGUCCCCCACUGGGCCCACAAUUUGAGUCCUUUAAGAGGAUCAAAGCUCUCAGAGCAUCUUAGCAAGAUUAUUUAGAGCAAGAUAGACUAGCAAGGUCUCUCAGG